rnacentral:tRNA from 1 species
GGCGCCGUACCCAAGUGCGAAGGGCACAGCUUGCAACGCUGUGAUCAGCGGUUCAACUCCGCUCGGCGCCUCCA